GAUGAAGAACGUAGCGAAUUGCGAUAUGUAAUGUGAAUUGCAGAAUUCAGUGAAUCAUCGAAUCUUUGAACGCACAUUGCGCCCGCCAGUAUUCUGGCGGGCAUGCCUGUUCGAGCGUCAUUUCAACCAUCAAGCCCCCGGCUUGUGUUGGGGACCUGCGGCUGCCGCAGGCCCUGAAAACCAGUGGCGGGCUCGCUAGUCACUCCGAGCGUAGUAGUUACAUCUCGCUCAGGGCGUGCUGCGGGUUCCGGCCGUUAAAAGCCUUAUUUACCCAAGGUUGACCUCGGAUCAGGUAGGAAGACCCGCUGAACUUAAGCAUAUCAAUAAGCGGAGGA
rnacentral:misc_RNA from 1 species